AGGACGAACGCUGGCGGCGUGCUUAACACAUGCAAGUCGAACGAUGAUCCGGUUUCGGCCGGGGAUUAGUGGCGAACGGGUGAGUAACACGUGGGCAACCUGCCCUCCACUCUGGGAUAACUCCGGGAAACCGGGGCUAAUACUGGAUACGACCUUCGGGCGCAUGCCUGGGGGUGGAAAGUUUUUCGGUGGAGGAUGGGCCCGCGGCCUAUCAGCGUUGUUGGUGGGGUGAUGGCCUACCAAGGCGGUGACGGGUAG
rnacentral:rRNA from 1 species